UACGUAGGGGGCUAGCGUUGUCCGGAUUUAUUGGGCGUAAAGAGCGUGUAGGCGGCCAGGUAGGUCUGCUGUGAAAACUCGAGGCUCAACCUCGAGACGUCGGCGGAAACCAUCUGGCUAGAGUCCGGAAGAGGAGAGUGGAAUUCCUGGUGUAGCGGUGAAAUGCGCAGAUAUCAGGAAGAACACCCGUGGCGAAGGCGGCUCUCUGGGACGGUACUGACGCUGAGGUGCGAGAGCGUGGGGAGCGAACCGG
rnacentral:rRNA from 1 species